GACGAACGCUGGCGGCGUGCUUAACACAUGCAAGUCGAACGAAGUGGCGAACGGGUGAGUAAUACGUGAGUAACCUGCCCUCCUUUUUGGGAUAAGCCUUGGAAACGGGGUCUAAUACCGCAUACUAGUAGAUGGACCUGCGUUGUAUUAGCUAGUAGGUAGGGUAAUGGCCUACCUAGGCAACGAUACAUAGCCGACCUGAGAGGGUGAUCGGCCACACUGGGACUGAGACACGGCCCAGACUCCUACGGGAGGCAGCAGUGGGGGAUAUGGCACAAUGGGCGAAAGCCUGAUGCAGCGACGCCGCGUGGGGGAUGAAGGCUGUCGGGUUGUAAACCUCUUUCGCUAUCGAACGGGUAGGUGGAGAAGAAGCGCCGGCUAACUACGUGCCAGCAGCCGCGGUAAUAC
rnacentral:rRNA from 1 species